rnacentral:tRNA from 1 species
GGAGGGGUGUCCGAGCGGCUUAAGGAGCACGCCUGGAGAGCGUGUGGGUCUUCUGGGCCUCGUGGGUUCGAAUCCCACCCCCUCCG